rnacentral:rRNA from 1 species
GACGAACGCUGGCGGCGUGCUUAACACAUGCAAGUCGAACGGGAUCCACUGGGCUUUUGUUUGGUGGUGAGAGUGCGAACGGGUGAGUAAUGCGUGACUAACCUGCCGUAUGGUUGGGGAUAGCUCCUGGAAACGGGUGGUAAUACCCAAUGCUCCAGCUGGAUGCAUGUCUGGUUGGGAAAGCUUUUGUGCCAUAUGAUGGGGUCGCGUCCUAUCAGCUUGUUGGUGGGGUGAUGGCCUACCAAGGCGUCGACGGGUAGCCGGCCUAAGAGGGCGACCGGCCACAUUGGGACUGAGAUACGGCCCAGACUCCUACGGGAGGCAGCAGUGGGGAAUAUUGCACAAUGGGCGCAAGCCUGAUGCAGCGACGCCGCGUGCGGGAUGGAGGCCUUCGGGUUGUAAACCGCUUUUAUAGGGGGGCAAGCUAUGCCUGUGUGGUGUGGUGAGUGGACUUUAUGAAUAAGCACCGGCUA